rnacentral:rRNA from 1 species
UACGUAGGGUGCAAGCGUUGUCCGGAAUUAUUGGGCGUAAAGAGCUCGUAGGCGGUUGGGCAAGUCACGUGUGAAAUCUCCACGCUCAACGUGGAGGCGCCACGUGAGACUGCCCUGACUCGAGUCCGGUAGGGGAGCGUGGAAUUCCCGGUGUAGCGGUGAAAUGCGCAGAGAGUCGGGAGGAACACCCGUAGCGAAGGCGGCGCUCUGGGCCGGUACUGACGCUGAGGAGCGAAAGCGUGGGGAGCAAACAGG